UUAAAUUGAUUCAUUCGAAUCUGUAAUAGUUAAUAGUUGAUAGAGAGAGACAACAGAAACUUCCAAUAACACUUUUUAUUGUUCAUUAAAUAUGGAAUGCUGUAGUAACAACAGACGAAUCGAAAAAAAAAAACAAUUUCACGUCGAUGUUUUUAAGAUGAAAAUGUUUAUUGAUUGAUUUAGCAUUGAGUCACAAGAACGAAUAAAAUUUAAUCAAAUUAGAUUUAAUCGACACAAGUAUUACAUGGUUACUUAAUUUGUUCAUUUUGGUAAAAAAAAAAAUAAUUAAAUAAAAACAGAAAACCAUUGCACAGCCACCAUCACACGCACAAUCGAAAUAAACACCAGCCAACAACGAAAUUACGAAUUCUAAUUUUGUAUUUACAUCACACCGACUUUAUCAUCACUAAUAAAUCAAAAAAAAAGGAGAGAAGAAAAAACCAUUACGCAUAAUGUUAUGCCAUCGUCGAAACGAUCGAAAAUUCAUUGUUCCGGCACAAUGACAAAAGACGCUUUCGUCUGCAGACGACACGAUAUAUAUCCAACAUAAAACCGUACAUAUAACAUUACUAUAUAAAUGCAGAAAUGUGUAUAGUACUUUUGUAUAGAUCAACAUAACAUUAUCCGCAUUCGCAUUACAGAAUGACAUCAUUCGACCAUGUCAUUACUUUAGUUUGAAUUGCUUGCUCGCUCGCCUGCGUUCGAACUACACAAAACUAAAGAGGCAACCAAAAUAUUGAAUGGUGCAAAGUCAAAGACUAAAGUGAAAUGAUGAUGGUGUGUAAAGCAUUUCGGGAUUUUAUAUAAAGUAAAAUGUAAUUAAAUGAAAGGAAAAUUACACGGCUCUUCUUCUUCGUCGUCUUCAACGGUCUGCUGGACGAUUUGGUUGUUUUUGGUUGUUUUUUUUUGUUGUUGAAGUACCUAUUGUAUGUAAUAGUUUUUGAUCAUCAGUCAUAAAUGUUUAUUAUUAGCGAUUUCAAAAUAAGAUAACUAAUUAAAUGCUUUCGUAUUUAUACAAUACACGAAUAGUUUUGCAGAGAUGGUAUACAGAGUCGCAGAGUCGAAUGUUUUUAAUUGUUGCGAAAAUGCAAAUUAAAUGAAAAAGUAAAAGUUCAUAAUUGACCUCUUCUUAAAGUAUAUUAGUGCGUGGAGCGUAAA